UUCAAAGGAAACAAACUAUGAUCACUGAGAAACAAAUGGAAUAUUUGAACAUCUUGUUCACUAAGAACCCAUACCCAAACCUCAGUCUUCAGAAAGAAAUGGCCUCAAAGACAUACAUCCAACGGUACUGCAGGUUAGGUUAAAGAAUGAUAGCACAAAACACAAGAAAGCAAAAUGCAAGCAUAUUCAGCAAAAGCAAGAAGCUCAACAACUGCAAUUAACUGAGGGUGUAGUCAAGACCAGUCCUUCCCAGAGAAAUAGACACACCACCCAGAUCCCCUAAUGAUGCCUAUCCUGUAGCUCUAAUGUAUACAGAUGAUUGGACACUCUCAUGCCAACUCAGCGUAUGCCCCAAGGUUAAGGUCCCUACAGAUGACUCCAUUAGCCACAAAAUAAUCCAUUCUGGCUGCCGAGAUUUUAACAAACACCGCCUCUAACCCAUUUUGGAAUCCUAAGUUUG
rnacentral:lncRNA from 1 species